UCGGGGGUCGUUCAAUUGGCAGGACGCUGGCCUUUGAAGCCAAGAAUCGAGGUUCAAGUCCUCGCCCCCGAGCCU
rnacentral:tRNA from 1 species